rnacentral:rRNA from 1 species
CCAAUAGCGUAUAUUAAAGUUGCUGCAGUUAAAAAGCUCGUAGUUGAAUUUCGGGAUCAAUAUCUCGGUCGUGCCUCGGUACGUACUGGCUUAUUGGUUUCUCCCUUCUGACGAACCAUGAUGUCAUUUAUUUGGGGUUGUGGGGAAUCAGGACUGUUACUUUGAAAAAAUUAGAGUGUUUAAAGCAGGCUCACGCUUGAAUACAUUAGCAUGGAAUAAUGAAAUAGGACGUUUGAUUCUAUUUUGUUGGUUUCUAGGAUCGACGUAAUGAUUAAUAGGGAUAGUUGGGGGCAUUAGUAUUCAAUUGUCAGAGGUGAAAUUCUUGGAUUUAUUGAAGACUAACUACUGCGAAAGCAUUUGCCAAGGAUGUUUUCAUUAAUCAAGAACGAAAGUUAGGGGAUCGAAGACGAUCAGAUACCGUCGUAGUCUUAACCAUAAACUAUGCCGACUAGGGAUCGGACGAUGUUAAUUUUUUAAUGACUCAUUCGGCGCCUUACG